AACAACAUGCCUAUCGAGUGAACCCUGAAAAGAGAGAGAAGAUCUGCAGUGAGGUGGAAAGUUACUUCGGAAAUUCCAGGAGUUUCCUCUUGAAAUGUCCGUGAUGAGGACAACAUGGUUUCUGAUUGUCCCAAGGGUGUGCAUUCAACAAAUUUUGCAUUUAGCCAGUGCGUUGCCAUGGAUUACAAUUUAUUUUGACUGUACGUUUUUCGGUAUUGGAGAGAGUUUUGGGGCUCGUUCCAAGGGGGCGAUAGUUCUAGAAGCUAGUGAGUUUUAAGUUGUUGUCUGUUGGUGGUAAGCAUUCUCUUAGGGGGGAAGGUGUUACAGUCUUUGGUUUUUCCAUUUAUGUUUUGAGGUGGACACCAAGGAACUUGAAACUCUCGACUCGCUCCACUACAGCCCCGUUGAUGUUAAUGGGGACCUGUUCGGCCCUGCUUUUCCUGUAGUCCACGAUCAUCUCCUCUGUCUUGCUCACAUUGAGGGAGAGGAAGUGCCAGGUCUCUGACCUCCUCCCUGUAGGCUGUCAGGGAGAGUUUUAAAAUGUCAGUGAAGACACUUGCCAAUUGGUCCGUGCAUGCUCUGGGUACAUGCCCUGGUAAUCAGUAUGUCCUAGCGGCGUUGUGAAUGUUGACCUGUUUAAAUGUCUUGCUUUGGAGAGUGUGAUCACACACGUCCGGAACACCUCAAUCAUGCUUCAGAGUUGCUUGCCUCAAAGCAAAAAAGGCAUUUAUGUCGUCUGGAAGCUCGUCUCCACCUUUUCUUCAGGUGAAUGACAGGGAUUUGGGCCUGAUCUCCUGAAAGCAGUAUAUACUUCGUGUCAGACUCGUUAAAGAAAAAAUAUUUGUCAAGUUUGAGGUGACUAAUCACUGUUCUGAUGUCCAGAAGCUCUACCAUGCGAACAAGUUCCCACUAGAGAACACAAUCACAUGCUGCAUGAGGUGUGGCUAACGUUAGCAAGCUUGAGCUAGAUACCAAGCUAGCAUACAAACUCGGUAGAAAUAGUGCAUUGUGGGUAAUGAGAAGAUAUCCAGAAAUAAGUUAAGAAAUAUUUAAUAAAGCAAAAACAUAACUGUUUGUCCUUAUAGGUAACCAGAUCUUCAAUACAACUAAGUUACUAAGUCUUUAAACACACUGUGUUACACUGGUGAGUAAAAACUCAUGCUUCCUACACUAACUUGUAGUCUGAAAAUAAAAUGUAAAUUUUACUCAACUGCGUCCAGUCAGUAGAUGGACUAGGUGCCGCUUAGGCCGCCCGUUGUGACUCCGUCAAGAAUUCAGCAGUGCGAGUUUGUAUGAAGGUCUGGUUAUUAAAUGGGAUCAUAGUUCAAUAGUAAUAUCCUCCAAAACGCUCUGGUGACAAACGUUGCUGCCCUGUUUCCAGUUGUCCACAUGGCUGGGAGAACCUAUUCAAGUAAGUAAGUAAAUAGGUUUUGGAAAUGUAAAAAAACACAAUGUAUUAUUAACUAACUAGCUACAGUGCAGGCUAACCCAAAUGAGCUGCUAAAUGAGUUGCUAAAUGAGCUAUCUAACUAACUUCAAAUACUGUGUAGAUAGAUAGCUAAGUGAAUGAAAUAUCACCAGCUACCUAACUUCAUAUUAGCUAGUUAUCUUGAUGUAUUUAUCACUUUAAAAAACAAACUCCAAAUGCAUUUGUAGGUAGCUAGCUAACAGCCAUGGAGGGUGAAAGGAUAGCAGCACCAACGGUCAGUGAGAGAGGAUGUUAUUCUGGAAAGGGCGGGUACUUUUGUGUUGGUCCUGUCCCUAGAAGUGAGGAUGGAGAUAAUGCUAACAUAAUAUUCAGUGUGUUGUAAUUUGACUACAAUGAAGUUUCUUGUGAGGUUUUCUGCCCUCAGAUAAAGAGCUCUACGAAAGCCAGUUUACUUAUGAAGAGGUGCCAAUGAAGAGCAGUGGUCCUCAGUCCUGGGGACUCAGAGGGGCACAUUGUUGUUUUUGCCUCAGCACUGCACAGCUGAUUCAAAUGAUCAACUCAUCAUCAAGCUUCAAGUGAUACCUUGUAACUGGAGAUUCCUUCAAAACGAUUACCUACGGUUACCAGGUAGGGCACUGCAAUGUUGGGUAACCAGGGUCAUCUGGGACUGCCUCCUGGAGGAAUUCAGGUGUGUGAAGGCUACCUGUGUCCUGCGUAACUUCAUGAGGAUGGACACAAGGACCGGGAGGGGAUCUGCAGCUCGCCACCAUGUGCCAAAGGAGGAGUCUGCUGCUCUGCAGGAUGUUUCAAGGAUGGGGUCCAACAACGCAGCAAGAGAGGCAACCCAGGUUAUAUCAGCUGUGCCGGUGAACCCCUCCUGCAUCUGAACUGGCUACAUGGGGUCAACAGGAAGUAUUAUUAAAGAGAUGCUUUACAUUGAAAUACAGAUAGAUGCAGUAGUCCCAGAGUUAAUGAUCCAAGAUAUGUUUUGAUGUGAGAGGAUGCCAACCCCCAGUCUCAUCAUCGCCACCUCACCUGCUUUUAAGAUGACCUUUUGGCUGACUAGAGACACUAUUAUGUAAUUGUGAUGAACUGAGAGAAUAUUUAUGUAGCACUGUGAUUAAUUAAUCAUGUGCUGCCUUCCCUGCUCCUAUGUGUUUACCUCUUUCCCUUUCUGUCUUCUACAUCUCUCUCUCCACCUCCUCUUUCUUCCUCUGUUUUUAUAAUGCACAACAUCUGUGCAUUGAAGUACAGAUUGAACUUGUAUUUAUAACACUUGGAUAAUGAGCUUUUCAAUAAAGUGUUUC